rnacentral:rRNA from 1 species
GACGGAGGAUGCAAGCGUUAUCCGGAAUGAUUGGGCGUAAAGCGUCCGCAGGUGGCAGUUCAAGUCUGCUGUCAAAGACCGGGGCUUAACUUCGGAAAGGCAGUGGAAACUGAACAGCUAGAGUAUGGUAGGGGCAGAGGGAAUUCCCGGUGUAGUGGUGAAAUGCGUAGAGAUCGGGAGGAACACCUGUGGCGAAGGCGGCUCGCUGGGCCGGUCCUGACGCUGAGACGCGAAGGCGUGGGGAGCGAACGGG